UUCUCAAUGGGAUUAAGUCGCUCUGGAUAAGAGCGUCUGCUAAAUGACUUAAA
rfam:Salmo salar isolate Sally breed double haploid chromosome ssa22, whole genome shotgun sequence.